rnacentral:rRNA from 1 species
AACGAACGCUGGCGGCAUGCCUAACACAUGCAAGUCGAACGAAGCCUUCGGGCUUAGUGGCGCACGGGUGCGUAACGCGUGGGAAUCUGCCCUUUGGUUCGGAAUAACAGUUGGAAACGACUGCUAAUACCGGAUGAUGACGAAAGUCCAAAGAUUUAUCGCCAGAGGAUGAGCCCGCGUAGGAUUAGAUAGUUGGUGUGGUAAAGGCGCACCAAGGCGACGAUCCUUAGCUGGUCUGAGAGGAUGAUCAGCCACACUGGGACUGAGACACGGCCCAGACUCCUACGGGAGGCAGCAGUGGGGAAUAUUGGACAAUGGGCGAAAGCCUGAUCCAGCAAUGCCGCGUGAGUGAUGAAGGCCCUAGGGUUGUAAAGCUCUUUUACCCGGGAUGAUAAUGACAGUACCGGGAGAAUAAGCCCCGGCUAACUCCGUGCCAGCAGCCGCGGUAA